GCGCCGUUGGGGUCAUUCCUUCAGUGGUCACAGAAUCAACAGCACGGGAAAGAAGUGCUAGGGAUUCAGCCAGUUCGAGACCUAAUAUACUCUGGCCCCGCUUCACAACAAAGAAUCUGCAAGGCACCGACGAUCGUUGAUCGUAACCACUUGAGUUGUCACUCCGUAGUGCACGAUAGCGUUUCCGCUAUAGGACCGUAAAACGGAAUUACUUGCCCUGAGGGGUGGCUUCGUUCGGAAUCUGUUGUACACUGACAGUGGUAAUAAAUUGGCUUGGGAACCAGU